rnacentral:rRNA from 1 species
UACGUAGGGUGCGAGCGUUAAUCGGAAUUACUGGGCGUAAAGUGUGCGCAGGCGGCCGAGCAAGUCGAGUGUGAAAGCCCCGAGCUUAACUUGGGAAUUGCGCUCGAAACUACUUGGCUGGAGUGUGGCAGAGGAAGGUGGAAUUCCUGGUGUAGCGGUGAAAUGCGCAGAUAUCAGGAAGAACACCCGUGGCGAAGGCGGCUCUCUGGGACGGUACUGACGCUGAGACGCGAAAGCGUGGGGAGCGAACAGG